UACGUAGGGGGCUAGCGUUGUCCGGAAUCAUUGGGCGUAAAGAGCGUGUAGGCGGCCCGGUAAGUCCGCUGUGAAAGUCGGGGGCUCAACCCUCGAAUGCCGGUGGAUACUGUCGGGCUAGAGUGCGGAAGAGGCGAGUGGAAGUUCCUGGUGUAGCGGUGAAAUGACUUAGAUAUCGGGUGGAACACCAGUGGCGAAGGCGGUGUUCUGGGCCGGAAC
rnacentral:rRNA from 1 species